GACGAACGCUGGCGGCGUGCUUAACACAUGCAAGUCGAACGGAAAGGCCCUGCUUGCAGGGUGCUCGAGUGGCGAACGGGUGAGUAACACGUGGGUGAUCUGCCCCUUACUUUGGGAUAAGCCUGGGAAACUGGGUCUAAUACUGGAUAGGACCAUGCUGUAGGUGGUGUGGUGGAAAGAUUAGUUUCGGUAAGGGAUGAGCUCGCGGCCUAUCAGCUUGUUGGUGGGGUAAUGGCCUACCAAGGCGUCGACGGGUAGCCGGCCUGAGAGGGUGGACGGCCACAUUGGGACUGAGAUACGGCCCAGACGCCUACGGGAGGCAGCAGUGGGGAAUAUUGUACAAUGGGCGCAAGCCUGAUGCAGCGACGCCGCGUGGGGGAUGACGGCCUUCGGGUUGUAAACUCCUUUCAGCCAUGACGAAGCCCUUGUGGUGACGGUAGUGGUAGAAGAAGCACCGGCUAACUACGUG
rnacentral:rRNA from 1 species